UAUUAAAUAUGCUAUGAAAGCCAUGGUGUUUCGGUUAUUUGCUGUUAAAAAUAGGAUUUUGUUUAAUACCUAUGCCGAGGAUAUUUGAUUUCAUUCGUCUAAGAACGAAAUAUAUUCUAUUUGAUCAAGACCUUGGUGUUUAAUGCUAAAUGCAGAAGUUCUGUCAUAAAAUUUGAAAUGGCACUCUGAACAUAAAUCAGAAGAAACUAAUGUUUAUUUUAAAUGCCAUAAAUUAUCAGGAAAAACUUCAUUUUCAUUAAAUAUACUCAGGUACGAAUUUUUUGCACCAAGAAUAGUCGUCUUGUUUGGGAAUAUAUUUAUUUGUGAACAGCAUUUCCUCACAUUUGAAAACUAUUAAGAAAAC